GAAAUGCGAUAAGUAAUGUGAAUUGCAGAAUUCAGUGAAUCAUCGAAUCUUUGAACGCACCUUGCGCCUUUUGGUAUUCCGAAAGGCAUGCCUGUUUGAGUGUCAUGAAAUCUCAAUCCCGUCUGGUUUAUGACCUGGCGUGGACUUGGACAUGGGCGUCUGCCGGUUACACGGCUCGCCUCAAAUGACUUAGUGGGAUCGCUUGCAUCCGUGACAGACGUAAUAAGUUUCGUCUCGUCCCUUGCUAUGCGUCAAGCCUGCUCACAACCCUUCUCGCCCUCUGGGCAGAAACUUUUGACUCUGACCUCAAAUCAGGUAGGACUACCCGCUGAACUUAA
rnacentral:misc_RNA from 1 species